rnacentral:rRNA from 1 species
UACGUAGGGUGCAAGCGUUAAUCGGAAUUACUGGGCGUAAAGCGUGCGCAGGCGGUUGUGCAAGACCGAUGUGAAAUCCCCAGGCUUAACCUGGGAACUGCAUUCGAGACUGCAUUGCUAGAGUAUGGGAGAGGGAAGUGGAAUUUCCGGUGUAGCGGUGAAAUGCGUAGAUAUCGGAAGGAACAUCAGUGGCGAAAGCGACUUCCUGGACCAAUACUGACGCUCAUGUGCGAAAGCGUGGGGAGCAAACAGG